rnacentral:rRNA from 1 species
UUUAUGGAGAGUUUGAUCCUGGCUCAGGAUGAACGCUGGCGGCGUGCCUAAUACAUGCAAGUCGAGCGAACGGACGAGAAGCUUGCUUCUCUGAUGUUAGCGGCGGACGGGUGAGUAACACGUGGAUAACCUACCUAUAAGACUGGGAUAACUUCGGGAAACCGGAGCUAAUACCGGAUGAUAUUUUGAACCGCAUGGUUCAAAAGUGAAAGACGGUCUUGCUGUCACUUAUAGAUGGAUCCGCGCUGCAUUAGCUAGUUGGUAAGGUAACGGCUUACCAAGGCAACGAUGCAUAGCCGACCUGAGAGGGUGAUCGGCCACACUGGAACUGAGACACGGUCCAGACUCCUACGGGAGGCAGCAGUAGGGAAUCUUCCGCAAUGGGCGAAAGCCUGACGGAGCAACGCCGCGUGAGUGAUGAAGGUCUUCGGAUCGUAAAACUCUGUUAUUAGGGAAGAACAUAUGUGUAAGUAACUGUGCACAUCUUGACGGUACCUAAUCAGAAAGCC